rnacentral:lncRNA from 1 species
CGCUUCUUUCAACAGCAGCAACAGUUAGUCAGACACCUCGGUAGCUUGCUAGACAAAAUAGCCAAACCAAUAAAGCUCUUUAGACGCUUUUGUGUUUAUUAGCCACUGUGUUUUAAACCCACUUCUGUUGUCUAGUUAAUUAUCCGAUUUAAUUUCAUAUUUACUUGGUUGUUUUUGGUCAAAUAGCUGCCUGGUUAAGUUAGCACUAGCCAAGCUAGCUAACAUCCCCGACCAUGAGGUCACUAAGUUACUCUCCUGUUAAAGAAGUGAAAGAGGAGGAGGAAGGAGGAUGUUACAAUACAAAAACAAGUAGAGGGUGAGGCUGUUACAGUGAAAGAAGAAGAGAAAGACGUUUCAGUGAAAGAAGAGAAAGAUGCGUUCAGAGUGAAAGAGGAGGAGGAUGUUACAGUAAAAGAAGAGUGAGUAUUCAGUUUGUGUAGUGGAAGAGAGGGAGAUGACUGUCACAUCGAAAAUGGAGGAGGAAGAAGAGGAGGGAACUGAAUACCUGGGCCCGGUUUCCAAAGGGCAUCUUAAUCCAAUGGUUCUAACGGUGAACUUAGCCAUAAGAUGGUUUUGAGAAACCGUUCCAUGAUUAACACUAGACACACGAGACUGGGGAAAUAUAGGACCAAGCACCGAGAAUGUAAAAUUGGCUGGUGCUGGUGGCCUUCCUCUCCUCUGAAGACCCACUGAGGGUGGAGCUCAGUCAGAGAGCUGUUGAGGGACUGGUUAGGAAGAACACUUCUACAGCCAGAGAGGUGAGAAGUCACACAUGGUUUAGAUGGUAAAUAUUUAUGUCCCCUUAGCGGUUCAUCACAUAAGCAAAAGGGAAUAUGUUCUAUCAUCUAUGUUUAUUUAAAAUAGUGCAAAUUGUCCACUGAUAUUGGUGUAAUUUCUCACCCCUUUUGGCUGUAUGAAAGUUAAUUUUCUUUCAGUCACACACAUUUGUUAUUUGAUAUUAUGAAGGUAAUUUGUGUAAAAUGUACUUUUCCCCAUCUCUUUAUAUUGCUGUUGCAUAUUCGGUGGCCUGACUGCAUCCAGACAAUGUCAAAAGCCCAUCCUGGUAGAUCUGAACCUAAUGCAGCUUGGAGUGAUCGGAUGACAGACAUCACAUUUAGGGGCAGUCAAAAGCAGAGCUGUGGGAGACCACCUCAAUCCCCUGGUAGAGCCGGAGGUGGUGUUUACCACUCCACCACACCUGCAGCAGGCUUGAAACGUGGGAUUGAUACUGAUUUUCAUACUAAGAGGGACCAAGAGUCUGUUGAUUGGUCAGUCAUUGGGUUCAUUUGUUGAAAUCAAAUCCAGCUUUAUUUAUACAGCACAUUUCAGACAUGGAUGCAACACAAUGGCUUCACAGGAAAAAACAAGUAAAGUAAUGAAAAGAAACAGAAAUAUUUAGUACACAACAAACAGAAGACUAACAACUGAAUGGGCACCCCAAGGAAAUGCCAUGGAUUAAAAUAUUAAUUGGAUGCAAUAUCCAACCCAAAAUACAAGCUUGUUGUUUUUUUAGGAGGGGCUCUGAAAGACUAUGGGAGUGUCCACUGAAUCUUGACAAGUAACAACAACUGGGACCGAAAAGACACCCACUAAAUCUGUCCAUGAAGAGGCAAACAAAAGAAAAACCCACAACAAACUUAGACAGGACGCAACCAAAAAGGUGGUUAAAAUAAUUUAUUACAAUCAAUACCAUUCAUACUAUUACAAAAUCAUAAUUCUCAUUCAUUCUUAAUUAAUUAUAUUUACAAAAACAUCAAACAAAAACAAACCUCAGGGGAGCAUCGUCCCUCCCCGUCAUACCUAACCAAUACCUAACCCUUUCCCUAUCUCCCCUUCCCUAAUCUAUCCCCUUMCCAAACUCACUCUAACACUCCCAGCCCUAAACCCCCUUUCCACCUCUCCCGUGCCGCAUGCUUCCCCCACUUCCUCUCCUCCCUCUUCAUCUUCCCCCUCAAAUCACCUU